GAUGAACGCUGGCGGCGUGCCUAAUACAUGCAAGUCGAGCGAACGGACGAGAAGCUUGCUUCUCUGAUGUUAGCGGCGGACGGGUGAGUAACACGUGGAUAACCUACCUAUAAGACUGGGAUAACUUCGGGAAACCGGAGCUAAUACCGGAUAAUAUUUUGAACCGCAUGGUUCAAAAGUGAAAGACGGUCUUGCUGUCACUUAUAGAUGGAUCCGCGCUGCAUUAGCUAGUUGGUAAGGUAACGGCUUACCAAGGCAACGAUGCAUAGCCGACCUGAGAGGGUGAUCGGCCACACUGGAACUGAGACACGGUCCAGACUCCUACGGGAGGCAGCAGUAGGGAAUCUUCCGCAAUGGGCGAAAGCCUGACGGAGCAACGCCGCGUGAGUGAUGAAGGUCUUCGGAUCGUAAAACUCUGUUAUUAGGGAAGAACAUAUGUGUAAGUAACUGUGCACAUCUUGACGGUACCUAAUCAGAAAGCCACGGCUAACUACGUGCCAGCAGCCGCGGUAAUACGUAGGUGGCAAGCGUUAUCCGGAAUUAUUGGGCGUAAAGCGCGCGUAGGCGGUUUUUUAAGUCUGAUGUGAAAGCCCACGGCUCAACCGUGGAGGGUCAUUGGAAACUGGAAAACUUGAGUGCAGAAGAGGAAAGUGGAAUUCCAUGUGUAGCGGUGAAAUGCGCAGAGAUAUGGAGGAACACCAGUGGCGAAGGCGACUUUCUGGUCUGUAACUGACGCUGAUGUGCGAAAGCGCGGGGAUCAAACAGGAUUAGAUACCCUGGUAGUCCACGCCGUAAACGAUGAGUGCUAAGUGUUAGGGGGUUUCCGCCCCUUAGUGCUGCAGCUAACGCAUUAAGCACUCCGCCUGGGGAGUACGACCGCAAGGUUGAAACUCAAAGGAAUUGACGGGGACCCGCACAAGCGGUGGAGCAUGUGGUUUAAUUCGAAGCAACGCGAAGAACCUUACCAAAUCUUGACAUCCUUUGACAACUCUAGAGAUAGAGCUUUCCCCUUCGGGGGACAAGGUGACAGGUGGUGCAUGGUUGUCGUCAGCUCGUGUCGUGAGAUGUUGGGUUAAGUCCCGCAACGAGCGCAACCCUUAAGCUUAGUUGCCAUCAUUAAGUUGGGCACUCUAAGUUGACUGCCGGUGACAAACCGGAGGAAGGUGGGGAUGACGUCAAAUCAUCAUGCCCCUUAUGAUUUGGGCUACACACGUGCUACAAUGGACAAUACAAAGGGCAGCGAAACCGCGAGGUCAAGCAAAUCCCAUAAAGUUGUUCUCAGUUCGGAUUGUAGUCUGCAACUCGACUACAUGAAGCUGGAAUCGCUAGUAAUCGUAGAUCAGCAUGCUACGGUGAAUACGUUCCCGGGUCU
rnacentral:rRNA from 1 species